GAUCAAUGGGGUCUACGAGGAGUCUUGUGAACUUCUAUUUUGGUGUCUUCAAGUAAACUGAGAUCAUACUGCAUAUGCUGUUUGGUGACCUGCUCUUCUUUCAUUGAAUAAGUCAUCAUGAAUUUUCUUUUGCCACUAGAUACAUGUCAGCAGUGUGAUACGUAGCUUCUAAGAAGGUUCCCAGUGACCUCUGUUCUCUUGCAUCCUCACCAUCAUGGAAUGCACCCCUUGGAGCACGGGUAGGACUGAUUUACUUCUAACCCACCGAAAGUGGCAAGAAUGAUGGGAUGUCAGUCUGAGAUUAGGUCACAAAAUCACUCUGGCUGCUGUCUUGCUCACCUGCUCCUGUUUUCUAGCUUGUUUAUGGUGAUGGAACCAACUGCUAUGUUGUGAGCUAUUCUAUAGAAAGGAGGGCAGUGGAACGGAGGGAGAUCUCCAACCAGCAGGCUUAGGGGACCUGAAUCCUGCCAACACCCACUUGAGUGAACCUGGAAGUGGAUCUUCGCCAAGUUAAGCCAACGAGCCCUGAACUUCUGAAAAUACGAUGAUGCUCAAAUCCCUAAGAACUUUGAAAGAAAACAACAGCACUGGUUGAAGCUAAAAUAAUAAUGAGCUUUUCUGAAAAUCUUUGUUUAUUUCAGUCAGAGGAAGGACUGUCAGUAAAUUCAACUUUCUAAAUUAGCUGGAUUAAUUAUGUACAUAUACAUAUAUAUGUAUAUAUAUGUAUUUAUAUAGAUAGAGAUGGAUAUAAUUUAUUUUGAGGGGGGAAGAAUUUUGCAUACACAGCUAUGGCCACCAUUUCCAAAUUGCAACUUCACUGUUGGGGAAGAAUAAAUAUUUUAAUGAAUGCUAUAUAUUUUAACAGGCUCUGAACCCUGUGGUUGGUUUUAGCUAAGGGUGCAAUUUCAGGCAUCUAAAUAAGUAAAUAAAUGAGGAAGAAAAUCCAUGUUAAUUGCAGUAAUUUGCGGUACUUUCAAAUUCUUAAUUAAGAAAUAAAAUAGGAUUCAUUAUCCAUGCCCACUGUAGAUGGCAUACAUAGAUCACCAUUAUGACCAGACACAGGACCUGAAGUUAUUGCCAUAAACGAAAUAACAGAGAGAAAUCACUGGUGCAUUAUUGGUCAAACUGUGCAGGCACAAAGAGGGAGGAAAGAGGACACAGAAAAUGCCUAUUGUCCAUAAAUGCCCUUUUUUUCUGACCUGGGGACUGUAUUAUCCCAAAAUAUCUCCCCUGAGCUUGGAGUCCUGCCCCUCCCUCCUAAUCUCUGGGAUAGGUUUCUUCCCUCAAGCCUCACAUAUAAUAUUUCUCUGAGCCUCUCUGGACACCCUGCAGUUGACACCCUGCUGUGUCAACUUUUCCCCAAUCACCAACCCCAGGUCGUUCUUCUGGUGAGUCCUAAUGUUCUUCUACAAAGGCGGGAAAAAGAGAACGACUUUUCUCAUAACCAGAGGCAUUCUGACUCAUGCUGCCUUUUGAAAAUUAAAUUAAUCUAGAGAGGGCAUAUAACUUGUCAUAC